rnacentral:rRNA from 1 species
AGAGUUUGAUCCUGGCUCAGGACGAACGCUGGCGGCGUGCCUAAUACAUGCAAGUAGAACGCUGAAGAGAGGAGCUUGCUCUUCUUGGAUGAGUUGCGAACGGGUGAGUAACGCGUAGGUAACCUGCCUGGUAGCGGGGGAUAACUAUUGGAAACGAUAGCUAAUACCGCAUAAUAGUAGAUGUUGCAUGACAUUUGCUUAAAAGGUGCAAUUGCAUCACUACCAGAUGGACCUGCGUUGUAUUAGCUAGUUGGUGAGGUAACGGCUCACCAAGGCGACGAUACAUAGCCGACCUGAGAGGGUGAUCGGCCACACUGGGACUGAGACACGGCCCAGACUCCUACGGGAGGCAGCAGUAGGGAAUCUUCGGCAAUGGGGGGAACCCUGACCGAGCAACGCCGCGUGAGUGAAGAAGGUUUUCGGAUCGUAAAGCUCUGUUGUAAGAGAAGAACGGGUGUGAGAGUGGAAAGUUCACACUGUGACGGUAUCUUACCAGAAAGGGACGGCUAACUACGUGCCAGCAGCCGCGGUAAUACGUAGGUCCCGAGCGUUGUCCGGAUUUAUUGGGCGUAAAGCGAGCGCAGGCGGUUAGAUAAGUCUGAAGUUAAAGGCUGUGGCUUAACCAUAGUAUGCUUUGGAAACUGUUUAACUUGAGUGCAGAAGGGGAGAGUGGAAUUCCAUGUGUAGCGGUGAAAUGCGUAGAUAUAUGGAGGAACACCGGUGGCGAAAGCGGCUCUCUGGUCUGUAACUGACGCUGAGGCUCGAAAGCGUGGGGAGCAAACAGGAUUAGAUACCCUGGUAGUCCACGCCGUAAACGAUGAGUGCUAGGUGUUAGGCCCUUUCCGGGGCUUAGUGCCGCAGCUAACGCAUUAAGCACUCCGCCUGGGGAGUACGACCGCAAGGUUGAAACUCAAAGGAAUUGACGGGGGCCCGCACAAGCGGUGGA